rnacentral:lncRNA from 1 species
AAGGACAAAACCUAUUUCACAUCUGGGUCUGAGGUGGCCCCUGGUAGUGGGGGAGGUUUGGGACCCCACAGUCCCCCGGUUAAGGGUUGUGUCUGGAGUCAAGAGGGGUGAGGAGGAGGCAUUUGCAGCCCAUACUGAAAGGACUUAUAGAGAAAGCACUGUUUAUGGAAAUAAGGACUGGAAAAAAACAAAAACAAAAACCAAGAGUUCUUGUUGUGGCUCAGCAGUUAACAAACCCAACUAGCAUCCAUGAGGACGCGGGUUUGAUCCCUGGCCUCGCUCGGUGGGUUAAGGAUCCAGCGUUGCCGUGCGUGGUGAUGUAGGUCACAGAUGCGGCUCGGAACCUGCCUUGCUGUGGCUGUUGGUGUAGGCCAGUGGCUACAGCUCCGAUUCAACUCCUAGCCUCCCUAUGCCGUGGGUACGGCCCUAAAAAGACAAAAAAACAAAAACAAAAAAAGAAAACCACCUUCAGACAAUACUGAUAGGCUCUGAGCAACUUCCUCUCUCUGUGGAAAGUGGCUGAAAAGGAAAGAUGCUGGUAUGGUCUGAGACUCAGGUGGGAUGCCCAGGCCUGAGAACCAGCUUCUAGGAGAGGAUGUAAAUUAGGUAAAAUCUUUAAUUUAAAAAAAUGGGGGGAGUAAGGAGUUUGUGGCUAAGAGUAACCAACGGCCCUGAGACACUUACGACUACCGUGUGGGAACACUGUGGCAGAAAAGAAAUCCUGAAGCCCAGUGACUGACACUCAGGCAUCCUGCCCCAUGACGCCCCAUGACCCGCUCUGCUUAGCUACUAAGUUUGCAGCAGGAGGGAGGACAACUAAUCGGCUUCAUGGAACCUCAAAUUUUGUCAUCUAUAAAAUGGGCACAACUAUCCUCUCUACCCAUAGGCUUUUUGUGAAGUCAAAUCAGAUCACAGCAGGGCCAAGCCAAUGCUGUUCCUGAAAGCAGAGCAAAUAGCCCCUCGGCCUGGCUAAAUAACAUGCAACGGUCUGCAUCCUGGCAUAGAAAACAGAGGCGCUCUGCAGUUAUUCCUACAGCUGGAUGGGACGUGAGCUCCAUUCUCCUCUAUUUUCAGUCUUUUUUGGUUUUAUGUCUUGUUCUCAUUGCUUUGCUUACUUUAGGGAAACAAUUUCAUCAGGACGUGAGAAAAAAGUCCUACUCAAAAAUGUUUAUAGCCAAAUGAUACUUUUUGUAAUGUUGCAAUGACGUUUGGGCUGAGGAUGAAUGUCCUCUUUUCCCCUCUGGUUGGGAACACAUGAAAAUUCAAUGAAGCAGCACAGCUUGUUUUGUCAGUGAAGUUAGUACGUGAGGCAGUUUUGGCCUUGUUUAUGGAAAUGAAAAAUCUUUGCCAUGUUUUGAUUCUCUGCAGAAGUCUCUGGUUGUGACAGGCUGAAAAAUGAAAAAAUGAGAAUGUACAUGAUCCAUUUAGGAACUUGCCUUUUUUAUUUUUUUUCUCACAGCUGCACUUGCAGCAUAUGGAAGUUCUAGGCUAGGGGUCAAAUCGGAGCUAUACCUGCAGGCCUGCAUCACAGCCACAGCCAUACCAGAUCUGAGCUGUAUCUGCAAACUACACCACAGCUCGUGGCAAAGCCAGAUCCUUAAUCCACUGGGCGAGGCCAAGGAUCAAACUCACAUGCUCAUGGACACUAUGUCCUGUUCUUAACCUGCUGAGCCACAGUGGGAACUCCUAGAGGGCCUCUUCAUUCUGAGUGACUCUGCCUUGAAUGAAACUGACAAUAAAGAAAUUCCAAAAACAGCCCCUAAGUCCAAACAGUGAUGUACAAUACGAGGCCACUGAGUGGCCAGGCCAAGGCCCUGCCUCUCUGCUGCUGUAACAGAUGCCCUAGAGUAGGUGGACCCUGGCCUCCCUGAGACAGCGUAGAAGGCGGCCCCCCCCACACACACACAUGCUGCUCAUUAUUCACCAAAACAACAUAUCAAUGCCCAGGGACACCUGUGGCAUUCUCCCUACUGUCCCAUCUGAGUCUCUCCCACACGGGAAGCAAGUCUCCAACUGUCUUACAAUUUUCAACCAGAGAUUCUUCAAGCAUGGAAACCACAUGACCCCCAAAUUGUACUUCUAGAUAAUCAUCCGAGAGGAGCGAGGUUGUAUGCGAAUGAUCGGAGCAGCUUUAUUCAUAAUAGAUUGUCAGUCCUCUUUAAAGACUAAUUUACUUCAAAACCAGAAUUUUUAGUUUUUCCUUGAACUGUCUCUGGGAUUCCACGUUGGCAGGGUCUGCAGAUGCUUCUGGGGCCAGCUGUCAUGCUCACCAAUGCCCAGGAACCCAAAAGCACUGCCGUGGCCUGGUCUGCUGUAGACACAGGCAAGGUGACCAGCAGUUACAACAGCCUCUCCAGAAAGCCCAGCAUAUCUUGGGUUUUCUCCUCAAAACAUCUUCUCUUUAGUAUCAAAAUUCACAUUCACCAUCUAGAUCAUCCAUCCCAGGCUGCUGAGGGGCAUGUGCCCAGAUCAGCAGUACCACGCACAUCACCCUCUUGUUGAAACAGUGGGUUGUUGUACCCAUUUUGCAGAUGAGGAAGCCAAUGCCCACACAGGUGAAGUAAAGUCCCCAAGACACACAGCUGGUGAAUCUUGGGCUAGGAUUGAACCCAUGCGGUCUGGCUCCCGCAGUCACUGAGGUUGCGCCCUCACAGGAGGGAUGAACUACUGAGGAUGACCUCUGAGCUGCACUGAAGGGGAGCAUGAAGUCCCCCUUCCAUGAGGGUACACGCUGUGGAGCACUGCUCUGUCUGCUUGGCCAGGCUCUAGUUCCUAUCCUGCAGUGCGUGCGCCACCUGGCUCCACACUCAGGAACAGCCUCACCCAUCAACUGGCCUUAAUGCCUUCCUAGGAUGCCCAAGAGAUGAGGUUUUUAAAGCCUUGAGUUCUAAUCUUUACAACUACUGAGUAAUUCUUCACAAUAACCCUAUGCAGGAGGUUCUGUUGUGAAGAACUAAACAUCCCCCACUUAACAGGCAAGAAGACGGAGACAUAAAGAUGUAAAGAAACUGCCCCAGCUAGUAAGUGGCAAAAUCAGAUCUAACAUCCAGGUCUUUUUCUGACACCAGAUCUAAGCUCUAAUCUAUGGGUCUCAGAGGUUAGGCAAAUAAGCUGUGAGGAGAAUACUGGUGUAAGAAAUUAAGGUUUUAGCUCCUUUUCAGCAGAAGAGCCAUUUCUGGGUUCAGUGGCAAAGCAGUGGUGUGGCCAGAGGCUGCUGGGGGCAACCCCUCAGGUCAGGCCACAAAGAAAUGGGAGAGCAGCCAAUUACAAGGCCUUCAUCACAGGCGUGACUCAGAGUCUACAGCAAAAGCCUGCUGCAGCCACUACUCUGCCCCAGGGUUAAGAAAUUCCCACUGGGCGAGCUCAGCCCUUUGCAUGCUGCAGCCCGGCUUCUGGAGACAGGCACUCUCCCACUACAAGCCAUGGGCAUUUCGCAAUCAGGUUAAUUUUGGCCAAGAAUCUGAUGAGCUUAGUGAGAAACUCAUUCCAAAUCUAAUACAGAUCUUUCUCGACUCAUGAUGGGGUUAGGUCCUGAUAAGUCCAUCCUAAGUUGAAAAUCUAUUAAGUAGAAAAUGCAUUUAACACACCUACCUUACCCGACUUCAUAGCUUAGCCUAGAAUACAUCACCUUACCCUUACAUUAGCCUACAGUUGGGCAAAAGCAUCUACGACAAAGCCUAUUUUACAACAAAGUGUGAAGUAUCUCAUGUAACUUAUUGAAUACUAUAUUAAAAGUGAAAAACAAAUGGUUGUCUGGAUCCAGAAUGGUUGUGUGUGGGUGGUUCUCACCCUCAUAAUGGUGCGGCUGGGAGCCAGGGCUGUGCUGCCCCCUGCCCAGCAUCACAGGGAAUAUCCGCAUAUCGCCAGCCCCGUAAAAGGUACAAACUCAAAAUUCGAGGUCCAGAUUCUACUGAAGGCACUUCACUUCCACACCACCACAAAAUCAAAAAAUCAUAAGUUGAACCAUCCUUAGGACCAUCUGCAGUUCCUUGCUACCAGUCCUCCCCCCCGGCUUCCGGCAUACAGAGAAUGUGACGCCUCCGAGCCUUUAGUCCUUUACUCCUCAGGGCACUACUCCAUCCAGGCACACACCCUCCUGCCUCUGGCCUUGGUGGGCCAGGCCCAGGUGAGGAGGAAGCCCUCUCCCCCCAACCCUCCAUCAGCCAAUCACUGGUUGCUACACCAAAAAGCGGUUCUUUGCCUGGUCUAGGGUUAGAUACCAGGCAGCCCAGGGAGAGGCGCAUUAUGGCGAGAAAUAAAGAUGCAAAAGGCCGUAUGACUAAGACGGUGACACAGUAACAAACAAGGCUAACUGCGGCUGUGAAAGACCGGGAACAGUCCCACCUCUCGAAGGCAGCCCUUUGCGUGGAGAAUGCUGACCCCUAGUGGCCACGCACGGGGACGCAGCGCGGCUGCCGCGGAGCCUGUGACAGUGAGUCACCUAGGGAGCAACUGAGCUCUAGGGCAUCAAGAGCCCCAGACCCCGUCUGGGGACAGUGGGCCUGGAAGGGAGGUGGGGGAAAGGCAGGGACGAGAGGACAAGGGCAAAGAGACCCCGGCUGCUAGUCCUGCCCCGCCCCCACCAUCCCAUAAGAGUUCUAGUCCCGCCUCCGUCCCUCCCAGCUCUCGAAUGCUGUCAACUCUUCCUAUGUUCUAGGAAGAAAUAAGCAAGGAGGAAAAGGGAAGAGAUCUGCAGUAUAAACGGGGCUAUGAUCCCCCAGGGCUUACAUGUGCCUCCAAAACGCUUCCUCCAUCCGGGUCUUCCGCUGGACCAGCCAACUCCCAAAUCUUGAGCCAGUGAAACUGCGUUCCUUACUGACAGGUGGGCUGAACAAUGGCUCCCAAAGAUAUCCAGGCCCUAAUCCCUGGAAGCUGUGAAUGUUACUUUAUAAAACAAAAGUGGCUUAGCAGGUGAGAUUAAGUUAAGGGUGUUGAGGUGGGGAGAUUAUCCUGCAUUAUUCAGGUGGAUCUUAAAUGUUAUCACAAGCAUCUUACAAGAGGGAGGGAGAGGGAGAUUUUACUGCAGAAGAGAAAGACAACCAUUUUACAAAAGACGCAGAAGAGAUUUCAGAUGCUACUUAGCUCACUUUGAAGAGGGAGUCAUAGGCCAAAAAAUGCAAAAAAAAAAAAAAAGAGCUCUAAAAACUGGAAAAGACAAGAAAAUGGAUUCUCCCUUGGAGGUUCUGCUGACACCUUGAUUUUGGCCCCAUGAAUCAGAUUUCUGGUUUCCAGAACUGUAAGAGAAUAAACCUGUGUUGUUUUUAAGCUACCAAGCUUGUGGUAAUAGGUUACAGCAGCCAUCAGAAAUAAAUACAUGACCUUCAACUCUUAAAUUUGUGUGUACUUGGGAUAAAACUGUUAAUGAACAAGAGAGACUCUUCCACACCUAGAGAAAUUUAUAAUCUCUCUCUCUCGGGAUUUUAAAAAGCAACAGCCAAAAAUUAUUUAUCUUAUGUAGUGAAAUAUAUAACCAACUAGCACAUGGAAGAUAUUCAAGAUCUUUAGCAGUAAGGAGGGUAGGGGUCAUCAAAAACACAACCAGGGGAGUUCUCUUCCGGGUUCGGUGGUUAACGAGUCUGAAUAGGAUCCAUGAUGAGGAUGUGGGUUUGAUCCCUGGCCUUGCUCAGUGGGUUAAGGAUCUGGCAUUGCUGACGGCUCAGGAUCAAGUGUCUGGCACUGUUCUCACAGGUUCACAAGUUCAUGCUAAAGGUCUUGCUAGGCUCUUAUACUCUGUGCAGGCAAACAUGAAGAGUGCCACUAAAAUAUUUUAGCUUAUUCGCAUAGCUUGGCUUUCUUUAACUUUGUCGGUAAGAGCCCUUUUCCAUCAUUCCUCAUGCUAAUUACCAAGCCACUAAUUUCAUCACACAAAAUCCAUUUACGAUAUUCACUGUGCUGAUUAGCAGUGUCUGCUAUGGAUCAAAACAGAGAUUACUCGAGCACUGAUAGGGGCCAACCUUGGCAGAUGGCCUGUCUGAUAGAAUAUGAGCCGAUGCUCUGGGGUAUAGUUUACCCCUAGAAUUGAAGCUUAACCUAACUAGCAAGUACACAACAUUAUACCAUCAAUUCUGCCAUAUUUUCAAGUGAUAUCAAGAUAUUUGCUUUUUUUGGGGUCUUUUUAGGACUGCACCUGCAGCAUAUGGAGGUUCGCAGGCUACGGAUGAAGUUGGAUGUGUAGCUGCUGGUCUACACCACAGCCACAGCAAUGCCAGAUCCGAGCUGCAUCUGAGACCUACACCACAGUUCACGGCAAUGCCAGAUCCUUAACCCACUGAGCAAGGCCAGGGAUUGAACCUGAGUCCUCAUGGAUAUUAGUCAGAUUUGUUUCCACUGAGCCACAAUGGGAACUCCUGCUUUGAAGUUUCCACUGUGGCUCAGUGGGUUAAGGAUCCGGCAUUGUCACUGCUGCAGCAGCAUGAGUUUGACCCCGGGCCCAGAAAAUUCCACGUGCCAUG